AGUUCAGCUACUCUCAUAAGAUUAAACAAUACCCAAUGACCUUGGAUACAAAAAGGGAAGCUGUGGUCCACACUGGCAGACUAGAGAGACAGGCAUCCUGGUGCCCUGCCAGUCACCCUGGAGUACACCUCUCCUGCCUGUGAAGAAACCUGGGACCUCUGGUUCUCAUGAAUCUGAUUCUUCCAGAGAAACAGGUGUAUACACUCUUGGACCUGAAGGAUGCAUUCUUCAGCCUCCGUGGGCAGAGCACACCGCCUGUCCCCAAUGGUCUUACAUUUUAUCAAGAGCUCUGAAUAUCCAUGGCCUUGAAUGGAGGCACAAUUUUUUUGCUAACAAGAACAAAGAGAAUGAGGCUGGAGAGACGGCUCAGUGGCUGAGAGACCGGCUGCUAGGGACCUGUUCAUUCACAGCACCUGCAUGGAAGCUAACAACUGUAACUCCAGCUCCAGGGGAUCCAACACCGUCAGACAGACAGAUGUGCACAUGAAAUAAAAACAACAGCAAACAGUGCCAAAAGGGGAAGAGUCAGAGCUAGACACCUGCAAUUACAUUUAGUUGUUUUAAUUUUCAUAUAAAUCUUUUUGAUUAAAAAUUUAAGUCAA